rnacentral:rRNA from 1 species
CAUCAGCCGCGGGAAUACGGAGGGUGCAAGCGUUAUCCGGAUUUAUUGGGUUUAAAGGGUCCGUAGGCGGACUUAUAAGUCAGUGGUGAAAGCCUGUCGCUUAACGAUAGAACUGCCAUUGAUACUGUAAGUCUUGAGUAUAUUUGAGGUAGCUGGAAUAAGUAGUGUAGCGGUGAAAUGCAUAGAUAUUACUUAGAACACCAAUUGCGAAGGCAGGUUACCAAGAUAUAACUGACGCUGAGGGACGAAAGCGUGGGUAGCGAACAGGAUUAGAUACCCCUGUAGUCCCUGUCUCUUAUAC